rnacentral:rRNA from 1 species
UACGGGGGGAGCAAGCGUUGUUCGGAUUUACUGGGCGUAAAGGGCGCGUAGGCGGCGCAACAAGUCACUUGUGAAAUCUCCGGGCUUAACUCGGAACGGUCAAGUGAUACUGUUGUGCUAGAGUGCGGAAGGGGCAACUGGAAUUCUCGGUGUAGCGGUGAAAUGCGUAGAUAUCGAGAGGAACACCUGCGGCGAAGGCGGGUUGCUGGGCCGACACUGACGCUGAUGCGCGAAAGCCAGGGGAGCAAACGGG